AAUGCGUUUUAUAUAUAAACAUAAACACUCAAGAUAUAUUUGGUCAUUCACUAUAUCAUUUGUAAAUUUGUGUCUCAACUUUGUGACUAUACUUCAAUUGUGGAUGAAAGAAUAUUGUUAUAAGAUCAAUCAUCGUGAGAUGGCUUCUUAUUUAUAUUUUUUACACAUAAGUACAGAACUUUGUAAUGCUUGCAUUAUUGUUGGAUCUAUGUGUAAAACAAUGAAGAUAAUGCUCCAGUUUCAACUUUAUCUUAAGCAGAGCUCACGGGGGUGCAAGAGCAUGGAUCUAAAAGAGGUCGGAAAGUUCAGUGCCAGGACAUGAAGGAUGGAUACGGGUCUUGCAUAUUGGAGCAAUAUGUUCCUACACCAAGACUUGCACGUCCUGAUAAGAGAGACAUUGUAACCGACUUACCAUUCGCCCGUGUCCUGCUGAAGAAGACCCCCCUACUAUUUAUAAGGUUAGCGGCCGUUGAUGCAUAUAUGGGUUGCAGUACAACCUCUUCCUGAUGUCCUUGCCGCUAUACAAUCAUGUUAUACAAAUACAGGCGAAUGUGGUAGGAAUACGUCCUUGACUAGUAAUAUUGUUGGAUAUGAACAAAAGCAUGUGCUCCGUUAUGAGAUAUUUUUAGACAAUUACGUUGCGAUGAGAUGCUAUACAGUUAUAGAGUAUGUUCAUGUAUUUGAAUAAUGUAUUGUAUAAAAGAAUUUAUGUUGAAAUAAUUAAUUAACAUUUUGUA